rnacentral:rRNA from 1 species
UGAUCCUGGCUCAGAUUGAACGCUGGCGGCAGGCCUAACACAUGCAAGUCGAGCGGUAGCGGGAAGAGCUUGCUCUUUGCCGACGAGCGGCGGACGGGUGCGUAACACGUAGGAAUCUGCCCGGUAGUGGGGGAUAGCCCGGAGAAAUCCGGAUUAAUACCGCAUACGCCCUAAGGGGGAAAGCAGGGGAUCUUCGGACCUUGCGCUAUCAGAUGAGCCUGCGUCGGAUUAGCUGGUUGGUGGGGUAAAGGCCUACCAAGGCGACGAUCCGUAGCUGGUCUGAGAGGAUGAUCAGCCACACUGGGACUGAGACACGGCCCAGACUCCUACGGGAGGCAGCA